GACGAACGCUGGCGGCGUGCUUAACACAUGCAAGUCGAGCGAGAUCCAUCCAGUGGCAACACUGGUGAAGAUCUAGCGGCGAACGGGUGAGUAACACGUGAGCAACCUGCCCCGAAGACCGGGAUAACAGCGGGAAACCGCUGCUAAUACCGGAUGCCCUCACCGGCCGCAUGACCUGGUGAGGAAAUGGCUGAGUCUUAAUAAACUCAGUCCGCUUCGGGAGGGGCUCGCGGGCUAUCAGCUUGUUGGUGAGGUAACGGCUCACCAAGGCUACGACGGCUAGCUGGUCUGAGAGGACGACCAGCCACACUGGGACUGAGACACGGCCCAGACUCCUACGGGAGGCAGCAGUGGGAAUCUUGCGCAAUGGGCGAAAGCCUGACGCAGCAACGCCGCGUGGGGA
rnacentral:rRNA from 1 species